UCAACAAACUACAGGAUGUCAACAAACUACAGGAUGUCAACAAAAGAGGCAGAGGCUUGGACUCGUGCCUCACAGCGGAGGCUAAGACGGAGCUUCACUGCCCUCCUCUGCAGUCACUGGGGAAGGAGGAGCAGUGUCUCCCCAGCCUGCCCAUGAGACACAACCCAAGCCCCAGCCACUUCAUUGCAAAAGUGACUUCUUGCCAGCCAAUAACAGCAGUGAAGAAACUCUGGAGGAAACAGCCCUGAUAGCCUUUUCCUGUUCCUCCUGCAUAUUUACAUGUGGUUUUCCUCCGCUCCUUUUGGCCUUUUCAUGGUGUUUGGUUUUGCUUACCUUCCUGCUCUGGAUUGAGAAGUAAUGUCGAGUGCCAGCCUGUGCUGAGGAUCAGACUCCUUUUCAAAGUCCUUUCCAGUAACACCAGACAGCAAACAAGCCACACCAGCUAUUAUGUCUUACCACCAAACCCGGUGAUCUCUUUUCGGGGAGCUGGAUCCUGGCACUUAUACUUUUUACCCAUGUGGAUUCCCAGCUAUGCUGCCAAAAAUGGUUGAAAAUGAACAGGGAGACAAUACUGGUGCAAAGAAUCUUCUGGUACUUGGCUCCUGCCUGCUCAUUUGGUUCCCAGAGCAGUGGAACAAGGAAGAAAAACAAGUAGAAGAGACCUGGAGGUGGGGAAGGCAAAUAAAAUACAGUAAUGGCAGAGUAUCCUAAGGUGAGCAAGGAGGGGAAACUGUAAAACAUGUUCUUACGCAAAACAGAUGUUUAGUUUUCCACCUGGAACAGCAAUUACCCUUUCCUUCCAGAGCAAGGUUAAUAGCAUUCAUGUUAGGGGUAGUAUCACCUUCCAUUUUCUUCACACUUACCUGAGUUAGAAUACACAAAACUGGGCAGCUAUUAAUAUUUCAAACCUGAAUCCAGCCAAGCACUGGCACAUCAUUACUCACACCAAAGUCAACAAGCUAUUGAUUUGAUUGAAAUUUAACAGGUACUUGAAUGUUUUGCUAGACUGAGAUCUCCCAGAUGCUUUUGCUUGCUAAUUCCCCAAAGGGCCGAACAAAUGAUGCACCCUAUCUUCCUCCCAGGCAAAGUCUGCCUGCCAAGCACUCCAGCUUGGGAGACCCCAUGCACACGCAUCCAUACACGUCAUUGCUGAGGCAUGUCCUUGCAUGUCCUCACCUGGGGCUGCUUGUGCAGGUUACUGCCCUCUCAACUCCUGCUUGUCCCAGCUGAAAUGAGCCAGGGUUGGCCUGAAGGAUUUAAAUACAGACUGGGUCUUGCUAAACCAGCUCACUUUGAGUGAUGGAGGUCAAGAAGUCUGUGCUAAGUCAAAAAGUAUAGAAGAAUGGUAACUCCUGUCUUGGCAAUGGUGCUGGAGAUGGCAGCUUCUCCAUCCCGUGUAUUCCCAGGGAGGGGCAUGCUAGCUGUCAGGCUGAAAACAUCUUGGUAAAACUGCAAUAUUUUUUUCAUUCCAUUGUCAAGGGAAUGAAACACAGACAAUUCUUUUUCUUGGGCAAAGAAUACAUUUACUUGGCUUCAUAUUCACUUUGUGUCACAAAAUGUCAGUAACUCCGAAAACGAAGAGUAGAUGUGGGCGCCUCUUCUGCAGGUAUAAAUGCAGGGCAGAGUCUCUUUUGUCAAAAGUGCCCCCUUUGGAGUCAAGCCAUGAAGUGGAGUCAUUACUUCUGUUCCUCCAAGAUAUCUCAUGCUCACAUGUACUUGAAAAAAGGAACAUUUCCCAACCACAGGAAAAUUAUUGUAGGUGUGGACCAAAGCUGUAAGUUCCAUUUAUUCACAAGACUGCCUGUGCAACCUGAAGAAGGUUGCACAGUUCCCUUAAGCUAUACAUGUCCUGGGCUUCAAAGCACGUACAGGAAACACACCUACAAAAAUAGAUGGAUUUCUGAAGCCUCAGGUUAAAAAUGUAAUACAUGGCUUAUUGACUUGGCAUAUUAUGCUCAGUCUAGUAAUUCUGUACAUACUGUGUAAUUAAAAAUGUCAAGCUGCUACGGGAAAUUUAAACUAUCCUUCUCAAAGAAAUACCCACACCAUGACUCAGAAUUGGCUUUGGGCAUAGGCAAAGUAGGGAAGAAUAUUGCUGGGAAAGCAGAUCUGCCAUAGGUUAGCAGUGUAUAUACAAUAGCUUUGAAAAAUCCUUAAACAUGGGCUGAAUUCUAGAUGCUUUAGUUAGGGUGAAUGAAUCCAGUCUUAUAGUAGAUGCCUUAACUACUUUUCUUCAGUGACCGCACAUGGAGCUGGGGCAGUCUGGGCAAACUUCUCACCCCUCCACUGAGCUGGGUACCAUGAGUUGUACUGCCUAUGCAUGUUUUGUAGUAGGUGCAAGAAAAAGGCUGUUGUGGGUGUGAGGAUGUGGUAAGCUAUCUUUUGUAACUUUUUCAAGUAAACAAUCAAACAGAAAAAAUCUUCCAAGCACACAGUGUUCAACCCCAUUUUAGCAGUGAGAUGAGGUAGGGCACUUCAGGUGUAAACACCUCCAGGACUCCUUGAAGAAAAAAAUACAUGUGUUUCUUGAAAUGCUGAUUGCACUGCAUUUGCACAAGGCUUUCUGGGAGGCAAGAAAGCAAUCCUGGAACUGCUAUUAUUUUUUCACAGCUGUUACUUCUCAACUUAGACACUAUAAGGAUUAGAGACGGGAUUGAAGAAAGCAGAAUGACGAGUAUGUGCCUACCUCUGCCCAUCAACCCCAUGUUCCCUAACCCUGCUGUAGCUGACUGUUGUUGUACCACCAUUCAUUCAGUGCCUCCAGUUCCCCGUACCAGCAGGUGCCAGUGCAAGAUCAAAAGAAAUCACAGCAAGUAUAGUUUCUCUGCACUUGCUAUAUACAUGGAGAGGGAACAGGGAUGUAAAGAAAUGUGAAUAUAGACAGCUUCUUUAGCUUUCUUCCUGCAAUUUAUAUCAUGAUCCAAGGUAUUUUAGAGAAGCACAUGCAGAAAGGAUGAUCUUCAGCCAGACACCACUCUGUCCUUUGCUUGUAGAAGCAAAUGCAAGGAGUGGUUGCUGUUGUUUACCUAUCCAGGCACUGCCAAGACCUGUUUGGACUGACCUGUCCUAUUGAAGUAGCUGUGUGCUCUGCAGGGCAAGAUAAUAGUAAUCUUCAGCACCUCUAGAAUGCUUCACAUUUUAACAGAGCUUCACAAAUAUGAACUGAACUGCAGUCAUUGAUAGGUGAAGUAGUGAGCUGACAGCACAGUAAGAUAGCAAACACUGUCUCCCCCUUGUACAGAUUGAUGGCACAGCCUCACUCAGAAACAACAGUGUCAAAACAAGUUUCCAAGACCGUAAAUCUGGACAGUGGUCUGAAUGUAGCGUAAUGACAUUGGGUUUAUUCUGUGAAAGUCCUUGGGGAAAACAGCAGAAACAUCACUUUCUGUGGGUAAAACGACCUUGAAAAACAGAAGCUUGGCAGGGGCAGAGGAAUAUGCCUCCCAAAGAGCUUGCAGGAACAAAUCAGCCACAAAUGAAACAGAACUGAAAGGCAGGGAGGAUGAUAAUAAGGGUAGACUUACACUGAAAUGUUUGGUCCUGCAAAGAUAUAUCGACAUGGUGACCUCUGCAAAGCUCCUCACUGACUACACCUGGCAUCAUCCAGCUCUUCUGGGGCAUUACCUGACAACCUGGCUGCUCGGAUGCAGUUGUCAUAGGGCAGGGGCAGAAGCAGCUGAGGACCAUGACAGGGAGGGCAGUGAAACUUUACCCAUGUAUGACAAAGACUGAAUAAUUUGAUGAGGAUAACACCCUUCUGGAGUGUGUUAUUUGGGGCAAAAAACUUAGGUCCUUCAGCCCUUUCUCAAUUGAUUCACAUCCGUAGAAUAAACAGGGUGCAGAGGUUUACAUUGGUAAUAUUUGUUAGUUGAGUGCAUUAGGAAAAUGUCUCAGUAUUAAGCUACAUAGUCAAAUCUGUCAAGUUGAAAACGAGCAGCUGUUUCAGGUAAGGAGUUUCUGUUUUCAUGACCUAAUCCAUAGUAGUAAUGCCCACAAAUAAUCUGUUGAAAGAUGUAAAAGGAGAGAUGACUAGCCUAAAUUCUGUGGCAUAUUGCUUAUAACCGAUUACAAUAGCUAUUUUAUCAUUGUCUUAAAAUUGAAUAUUUAUUAAAGGCAGCUUCUUUCCUUAAUUUUAAAAGUGUACAAUUUUUAAAGCCCUGCUGUAAAACCGUUUGACUAAGGUAUCCCCAGUGGUUCUGAAGAAAGCACUUUGGAUGCAGAACAAGGUGGAUGUUAACUUUACUGGAGUGCAGAGAUAAAACUGUUCUCCCUGUUUCUAUAAUAUUGAACUCUGCUGCAAGAACAGUAUAGCUUUUUGUUGCUAAGCAUAAGAAAAGACAUGUUGUUCAGUAAAGCAGGCUGCCUAUCCGUCACACAAACCAGGAGAACAUCUGCCUUUUGCUAGGAUCAAGGUUUAAUCUGACUCUGCUAGACAUGUCUAACUAAGCCUUUUUUAACUUGUUUGCACUGCAAAUGGAAUAUUCUUGCGUCCAAUCAAUUAAGCGCUCUAUAAGUAAAUGCAGGAUUCAUCAAGUAGUCAUCAGGAUCUGGUAGACGUUAAGUCCCAUGCCACGCUCCUCAUGAAAUUAAUCUCUGGUUCCUUAGGAAUUUUCAGACAGGAGUUUGCUUCUGUUUUCUCUCAUAGCAGGACUGGACUGAUGGGAAGUGAACCAGCAAGAGUUCUUUAUCUAAAUCACUGGGCUGCUGCACUGGCAUGUAAGGGGAUAGUUUGCUCAAAUCAAACAAGUAGACCAAUUAAAUUGGUAGAUUUUCCUCUUUGGAAAAAGCUGUUACCGUAUGUCUUUCUCUAAAUCACAAGGCUGUACUUUAAAUGAGAUAAGACCAUCUAGUCAGUGUGUUUGCCUUUCCUGUUGAGAUAUCGGUAUGUUGCUGCUGUGAAAGCAUGGGAAAACAGGUCAUUUUUUAGCUAAUUUUUUUCUUUGCUGGUUAACACCCUUUCAUGUAAGGCUACUUCACUUGACUAGCUGGAGCACACAAUAGCUCCCUGGUAAGUUUUGUGAAGGAAAUAGCAUUAUCUGAUAACAAGAGCUGUAUCAUAAUGUUUAAUGCUGUGCUUAAAUCCUAAUCCUCAAGUUAAGUGAUUAGGUGGAAACCUCAGCUCAUUAAAAUAAUAACUAUUAAAUUUGUCAAACAUCAUUGCUGUGGAGGAAGGCUUGAAAAUGAGUACCCCAAAACUCACAAACCAUGAAAUAAACAAAAAUAAUUUAGACUAGUGUGUACUUUUUAAAAAAAUACAAAACAUGAGAUCCAAAUUUCCAUAAUAAAAACACAUGCCCUAUUUUUAUUCGCAUGUUCUUUCAUUUCUAAGGAAACCUCUUGGAAGGUAUUCAUGCCUGUGCCUAACACCUUUAAACACUAUGUUCUUCUAACUGCAAACUAGUAAGGACAUACAUGCUUUGUUACGCUUGUAUUGCUACUGUUUACAAAGGGGUGAGAUGUUGCACUCUGGAAAAACAAGUAUCCACCAAAAUGUUUGAAGUUUCAUUGCUUUUAAUUUCUUACAUUUAAAAAAUAAGUUUCUUUUCUGGAUUUAUUGAGACUUUGUUCUUAAACAUUCAUGAGCAUUUUAAUCUCUACCCAAAUCCCUUUUGUAUCCUGCAAAGGCCUUUUGCAAUUUCAGACUAUUUCCACUUUUGAAAAACAGUUAUUCUUGCUCUGCAUGGAUACGUCAUUUUGCUAGACACAGAAAUGUCUUUCUAGUUCUGUGUCUUUUCACAGGGAAGCAUGGAUGAGGGGCAAACGACCACAAUAAGAGGCAGCAGGGACACAUCUGGGCCGAGUACAGCUUUUCUGGCAGCUUUUCACUCCUGCACCCUUUUGCCAGCUUACCUGAUAGGGAUUCUGCCUUCAGUUUUAAAUCUUUUAACCACAUAGAGAAAUAUGACUGCAGAAAUUACCUACUUCUUACCAGAAUUUAUUGCAAACCUUUUCCUCUGCGCCACAUAUUUCUCCAGUCCUUACCUGACUUGACUCUGCAAAUUUUAACAUGCUUUCCCUUUGUUUCCUCCAGCCCUCUCCUGCAGCACUUUUCACACAUUUAGCAUCACCCAGCAGGAGCUGUCAUCACACUUCAACAGGCCCAUUAUGAGGCUUAAUUUACUGUGGCCAAACUGGCUUCUCUGUGACUCAUGUUAUAGCCUCAGGAGCAAUCAUUUUUUGGUACCUGGGAUACAUGGGAAAGGAGGCAGAGAUCUUUCACUUGGUCUUAGACUGCUGGUUAGUAACUUAGCAGAUUAUUUGUGUUUAACGAGUCUGAGAUAUAUACUGACAGCUGUCUUCUGCAAUUGGUACCUUGAGAAAAAUGCCCCUUGGGGCUGCUUUGAGAACUACCUAUAUUUAGAAGAACCCUACAGAUGAAAGCAGUUAUUAAAUUCGUUCAGCAUGGGCAUCAUACCAAGAAGUUUUGUUUUCUUGCAGCCAUGCCACCUUGAACAGCAGCUAACAACAGAAGAUCAUCAGGGAUCAAAAGCUAUAUCACAAGGCUCAAAAUAAGACUAACGAAAAAUGGCAUGUGGUUGUCCAGGGAGAACUUUUCACACUCGUAAGAUCCUGUAAAAUUUGAACAUAAAUAAAAUGACAUCAACAUCGUUGACCCUCUAAGACAGAAAGCCACACUAGUGAUGCUAACCUGUUUUAAGGAUUUCCUGUUCUUUUCACCCCUUUCCCUUUGGUCUUACAUAAAGACAUUUAUUCUUGGCAGGUCUCAAUUACCUUUAAUUGGCAUAUUACGUGAUGCUAGUGGCAACCUUGUAAAAAGUAUUUAGAGAAUUUAAGAGAUAAGUCAGCUUUAAUAAUGAACCAAAUUUGCAGAUCAGCGAAAUGUUUGUGCUGAAAACCUGCUGUGGUUUGUAGUGGAAAAUCAAGAAGAAAUCCUUUUAUCUCCUGCUCAGUUGUGCCAUAUGGUGUCCCUGCAGCAAGAGAAAAGCACAGGACUCCUACCUGGAUUUCCCAUCCCUGAAAAAGGAAGACUCUGUCCAGGUAAAUUUGUCCAAGCAAUUAUCAAGACCAGCUUGAAAUAACAUGAAAAAAAGGCCUCUUCCACUUAGGAUCUGCAGGCAGCCUCUCAUGCAUCCCUUUGGUCCCACCUCCUGCCUCUCUCCUCCAGUGAUUCUUUCCAAGAUGUUCUCUUUUGCCAUUCACUUCUCCACCUCAGAAGUGUCACCUGGGCAGAACAUGAGGAUUCCCUGCUUUUGUCCAUGACUUCUGGCUUCUCCAGCACCCAGAAACCACAGAGAUGCUUGCCGGGGAGGAAGGUUGCCCUUCAGCAGACAUUCAGAAGUCUGAUCCUUUGGAAGUGGUGUGGGGGUUGAUUUUAGUGUGCAGACUUCAUAGAUGAUCUGUGUUUCUGCCGUAUAUUUGACAUGCUCAGGAUGUCUCACUUACUGUGCAGAAUCAAUGUAUGCACAGUAGGUUUGAUACUUCCCAGAUGUAUUAAGCCCAUUAGGUACAUACUACACUGAAGCCUGCAAAUAUAUUUCUGUCUAGAAAAUCCAUCUAUCAUAGCAGGCCCUGAAACGACCUUGCCAAGAGUCAGUGUCUAAAAACGAAUUUCACUACCUUUCUAAGAGGCCGCAUGAAACCAGAAGCCCCAACCCUGAACAGAACUCAAAUUCAAUCCCAAAUGAGUGAUCGCUCUCCUUCUUCCAGUGGUUAUUUGUUUAUAGCAAGUAACUGAUGGAGCACUAAGUGUGGUCUCUCCCCUGUCAUACACCCAGCUCUGCCAUACAGUGAUCAUGUUGCCACAGUGAAAGAAAAUUUUUACACUCCAAAUCCUGUCACUUUUAUAGAUUUUUAGGGGCAAUGAAAAUACCUGACAGGCUCAGGGCUGAAUACUGACUUUGGCACAUCUCAGUUUAUUCAUAUUGUGCCCUCUGCCAAGGACUAGAAUAUCAGGAGUUGUCUAGUUUUAUUCCCUUCAACUCUCAACAGUCCUGUCAAACCCCAUAAACUGAGAGGAUCACGCAGUCCAUUCCCUCAUCAUCAUUUCACAGAGACAAGGCUAAAGCUCCCCUGACACCGUGGCACCUCUUCUGCUCUGCAGUCCAGUGGGCUUGACAGAGGUGACUAGCCUACCCAGGUUGCCAGCGAGAGAGGAGCAUCACAAGGAUGCACUGGCACCAGGUGGGUACCACAUUCGAGCUAUCCCUGCCAGAAGGCAUAUAGCCAGCCUGGCCCCAGAGUCCGUCCCCAGCACCCAGCACCUUCUCAGAGGUCAGAGGCAAAGUCAUCCAAGAGAGCUGCCUCCACAGGGAGAGAUUUGUGAGGCUUCAUCACCACUAGUCAACACAGCAGGUAAUGCUAGCACCUCGCUUUCACACAAGCAGCAGCCCUCCAGAGACCAAACCACGUUCUCUCAGUUCUGUCGGCUGAAGGCAGGCAACUAGGCAAAGGAAAAAGAGGCUUUACGCAGUUACUGCCCCGCAUCGCUUCAUGAAGUGGACUGCAAAGUCAUCUUCAGCUAGUAAAACAAACCUGGUUAAUGACAGUGAGGUGUCUGGAAAAAAAAGCAGAAAAAAACCCACAAAAAAACAAGCAGACAAAUGCCUUGUAUUCUGGAAAGGCAAUUAAAUCACAUGCCCUGUAAGCCCUUAUUAUAAAUACUUUUGAUAUGCACUGUGAAACCUUCCCCUGGCUUUCAUCCCUACCUCUGUCUGCUGUUUGUGGUUGAAGAACAAGUGACGUUUAUUCUGGGCUAAAAGACAGCUUUGUUCCAGACCAGAUGUCUCGUUCACCGCACAUAUGUCAGCCCUGCAGGUGCUACCACGGACUCAAGAAACAGCAAGUUUUGGAGCAAUUUUAAAAUAACAAUGCAAUGUCAAGAUAUUACUCAGACAAAAUAAUAAAACACUUUCGCUGCCUCAGUCAUAGAAAGUUUUGAGGGUUUUUUCCCCAGACUGAGUUAUAUUGUGCUUUCUCUUCCAUCACUGUAACUGAGAAUAACUCCACCGACUUCAGAGGAAGUUUUCACAUGUAUGCUACUAAGAGUGAAAUUUUAAACCAGCACAUGGAUAUACUGCAUAUUUGAGGGAUUUGGCUGGUUUAACACUUUAAUUCUUUAGGGACUUGCUUUAGAUUUUCCUGUGUCUGAUGCAGUGAAAGCAAAUCCAAGCUUUCAAUGAGUAAUUUAUGAAUCUCAGCUUUGGGGGGACAAAUUCUAUCCCAGGAUUUCACAUGAACAUUAUAUCACCUAGAUGUAAAGAGCAUAAAGUGUCCUUCCAUAUUGAGUCCAGCUGUUACAUCACAUACCAACUGACUUCUCCCUUUCACCCAUCACAAAAGAACCAUAACAUCUUCCUUCUUGCUUUUUUAAAACCUCUUUUGCAUAUCUAUUGACUUUUUUACAGUGACAGCUCUCUGUCAUUGCAAAUACAGGUCCUCCUCAAAUGUAAAUUGCAGGUAAUUCAUUUGUGUUUCUUUACAAGUGAAUUAAAUUUAGAUUUUAAGAUAUGAAGAGUAGAUCUCCCCAGUGGCUCCUAAUCAAAUACUUGUGCAUUAAAACUUCUGUUCAUCUUAAGCUGUAUGACUGUCAUAAAUGGAUAAACAAUUAUGGUCCAGAUCUACAAAAGUGCCUAAAGAACCUACACAGAACCAGGCUUUUCAACACCAGAGAUCCAUACUGCAAAACACUGCCUUGUUUCCCACAACGAGUAGGAAAAUUUUUGGUGUGGCAUUAAGUUACACUUUCAUAUAUACAAAGUGCUGCAUCUGUCUUGGAAGGAAAUCACUGCUCCCCAUCCAUGGUGGCCAAAUCCAGCAGCCAAGCUUCCCACUGAUAGAUGGGAGCUCUGCACACUGUGUCACUAGCCCAUCUAAUGUAAUCUGCUUGCGGGUAUGCUGCCUGCAGCACAGAAUAACCUUAACAGAACAAAAAAGCCAAGAGGAAAUCCCCAAACCCUGCCACCCACCCUCAAAACUGUAAAAGCUCAAAAUUUAUUAUUGUCGUCUAUAAAGGGUCCUCCUCCUGGCACAGAAAAGCAAACUGUUAAUAAUGGGUAAUAAAUCCCAGUCACAGCUUUUAUGGCUUUUGCUUUCUUUUGUAAUCUGUUUCCACAAUACGUAAGUGGAAGAAGCAGAUAAAACACAUUUUUUUAAGCAACCACAAAUAUAAGUUGUUUGUCUUCUUUCUUUAAGCCCUUAGGAAAUCAAUCUGCCUCUCAUUUUGCUUCUGUGCGUGCUUAUGUUUUAAUUUUUUGGAGCUCUUUUCCCUUUAUCUUUGCUUAUUACUUUCAGGGAGCACAUGGUGUUCAAAAUGUUAAGCCAAGAGAACUCAUUAUUUAAUGUCCAGCACACAAAUUCACAAGCCAAAAACGUGUCUACAGCCCAAGCUUAGGAAAAGUUUAUUAUUUUUUCCAUACAAAAUGUUUAAAGAGUAUUUUACUUCACACAUUAAAAAUAGCAGAAAUGUUGAAAUCUGAGUACAAACUACAAUUUACAAGUAGCUCACUUUUCUGAAAUAUGUGUGUGGAGCUAGGAUGUGCUGACAGCCAGCAUGGAACAGAUUCUGCUAGCUGGUUUUCUUCCACAGAAAAUGAGGACAUACUCAGCCAAGCAGUUAUGUCCCAGCUUUAAGAUUUGACCUAAACCCCAUGAGCAACUGCAUAGUACAGUGAAAAGUAAAUACACUUCUGCUGCUUUUAAGCUGUGUUCCACAGGAUGACAGUAAUACCAGCCAUCAGAGGAAUUAGAGAUGAAAAUAUGCCCAUGUUCAUAGUCCAUAGAUGGCUUGCAUUACGCUUGCUAGCCCAUAUCACAUUUUUGCAGGUAUCCUCUCUUGUGCUACUAUGAUAGACUUCAGUGUAGAAUAAUUUUAAUCUAGACUAUCACCUUCAUUUUUCUAUGCAGUAACCAAAUGAAAUUAAGGCAUGUGCUUAAAUCUGCUGAAUUAAUACCCCUGCAUAAGUAACUUGUUGCGCACCCACUAGAUUAUCUAAUUGAGUGCCUGUCUAUUUUUGCUCUACGUUGAGAUUUUUGUUUGACAAUCCUGUCUUUGAAAUCAUUAGGAAAUUUGCUGCAGACAGCCACAAUUUCAGAAAUUCAUGAAUACUAUCUAGAAUAAUAUCUAGAGAAACACAGCAAAAGAUUUGAGUUACCUUUAGGUACUGUAAAGGAAAAUUCUUAUUCUCCACUGUGGAUUGACAUAUUAUAUCGUUCAAGAAAUAAGUACAUACAGUUGCAGAGCUUCUGGUCUUUCCCCAUAAUGCAAACAGUCUGCAUAGUCUGUCAAUCAAGUUAUUUCUUAUUUCCAGGAUUCCUUUUACAGUGCUACUUGCUCAAAAUUUGAUGAAAGAUUACUGAUAAAGGAUAACAGCCUUACAGUUUGGAGACAGGAUGUUUUCUUGUCAUUUUCUUCCCACUUUUAGGCACUUUAUUUUCCUGUUCUUACAGCUAAAAAUGGCAAGAUGCAGGGUGGAUGGAUAAGAAUUCAACUUAAUGCAGAAAUGUGAGGAGUGUUUCACAGACAACGUGACACCCUAUCAAUAAUCCAAGAUACUCAUCUUUUCCAGAAAAAAAUAAUUCGUUCAUAUUUUAAUUAAUAAUCCUAAAAUAAGCAUUACGUAUCCUAAAUCAGUGCACAUUAAGAUGAACACUAUGUACAAUUACUCCAAAUUCAAGCUGUAGGUCUUCAGGUCACAUUUAUCCUUUAUACAUUAAUAUACAUCUAUAAUCAGAGGGAGGUCAAGGGGAUCUGUACAUUAGAACUUGCUAGAGCACAGCCUCAGGUAUUAUAUGACAAUGACUUGCCAUGUGUAAUUAACUAUAGGGUUAGAGUUUCAAAAUUAGAGCUGUAGUCAUAUAUCCUUCAUAAACUCCCAAAGCUGUACAUGUAGAUGACUAAUAGGUACAAUUGCCAAGACACCAGCAGGCAGUUCUCUUUCUCAACCUGGUACGAUCCUGGUCUUCAGUGACUCGUAAUUAACCAAACAAGCCUCCCAGGUGAAAGGGGAAAUUCUGGUUGUACUGCAGAAAAUGCCAAAAAAUCACAUCAGGAUGGCCAGGAUUUUAUUUGGAAAAUUUGGUUUAUGUUCUUAAAAGAGAACAUAUUGAAUUUCCUUUUUUUAAAAAAAUCAGUUGGAGCACAAAAGAUAUGUAAUAAGUACUGUCCCACGCACAGCAACCUUCCUGUGGUUGCUUAGUCCUGUAGAUAUUUUUGAGACAAAGGUAAAAGUUAAAAACCAACCUUUUUUGCGAUGACUGUGCAACUACAACAGGAAUCAACAGAACACGGGCAAUUCAAGGUAGGGACAUGCUGGAAGAACACUGAACAAAUACUCAGGUACCUGACUGUUCAGAUAUGGUCUGUGCUACUGAGAGCCAGCCUAGUUUUCUCAUUAAAUCAGUCAGAUUGAUAGAAGAUAUUGUCUCUCCAUAUGAACCUUGGCGUGCUUAUAACCUUAGACCAUCAAGGCUACUACUAAAAGACUGAUACUAGAAAUACAUCAGCCUGUUACUCAAAGGUUGAAUUAGGGAAGAUAAGAGAGCAAAACUGAAGAAAGAAAAAAUGAAACAUGUCACAUAACGCCUAUAGGCUUCACAUAUAGAUUACAGAAGUCCAUUCACCAAGGGAUUAAAUAGUUUGGGACAUUUGUGUUAAAAGUAAACUACAGAUUGUCAAAAGCUCUUGAAUUUUCAGGAAACACACAGCAUGAAGUUUAUAGAUAGGCACUUUGAGUUACAGACUAUAGACUAUAUGUUCUUAACAAACUGUUACAUGCUAGCUCCCGCUCUCUCCAAAAAAAGUCAUCAGCAAUUUGUCAGAAACGAUUUUUUCUUGCCACAUAUCUUGACACAUACUUAAUUAUGUCUAUUGUUUAAUUUUGGUGGUGUGUAAAUGGACUUAUAAAUAAAAUAAUAUGAAACGUGA